rnacentral:lncRNA from 1 species
UCUCUUUCUCUCUCUCUCUCUCUCGGUUUCCACUCUCCCUCUCUAAAACCUCUCUCUCUCUCUCCUAAGUGGUCGGACCGCCACCAACAACUAAAACACUAAAAAAAGCCAUCACCCAAGAUCUACCGAGGCGGACCCAACGGUGGUGAUGAUGAACAUCAUGAAGAUGUUCAUCACAAAACCCAAAUUUUCCAGAUUUUAGCCAAUCAAUAAAAUUUCAAACAUAACUCGACCCUAAAACAUACGUUUAAACACAAACCCAUAAACAAAUUGAACAAAAUCCUCACAGAUUCAGAGAUUGAAUACACCCCCAAACCAAAACCCUAUACACCAAAAUAAACUAAUAUUCCUAAAUUAAACAUACAAUUUCUGGCAUCAAAUGAAAACAUGGAAA